CUCCAGAUUUAUUUUUCUAGUGCUUAUUUAUAGAGGACUUGUUCUCUUCUUCCUCUUAUUCUAGCUUUCCAGCUGUUUCUGAGGUUCUGCCUGCCUAUAACACAUCACUUCACUAGCUCCCAUCUUCCUCUUAAACCCCUUUCCCCAGCAUCUCGGGCAAGGUCCCUCAAUACUGUUAGGGGAUAUCAAGGAUGUCUGCUUUGAUAGUAGCUUUUAUGGGAUGAGUCAAUUCUUCCUAAGCUCAGGGACCUUCAGGAGUCACACGGGCAUAGGGGAGGGAGCAAACUGACAAAGGACCCAGUGCCCUUUCCUCUUUGCUGCUUAAGAUCUGGCCCAAGGAUGCUCCACCACCUCGAAACAGCAUUCUUCACUUCAAAACAAAACCUUUCUCGUUUUGAGAGGGCAGCCCCAGGGACAUGGCUUCAGCGAGUAAGUGAAGCCACUGCUUCAGGGUUCCAGGCACGAGUUAUAACUGCUUUGAGACUGUCGUGAACCCUAGACUUAUCUGCUUGGUCUAAACGCAACCUGCGUAAGUUUUGAGAAACAAACCAAAUGUGGUUUCUCGAACAAAGUCUGGAUUGUUGACAGCUUGUUCUCAGAUCUUUCCUUUUCAAACAGAUAUCGAGUAGCUCCAGACUCCGUGCUGGAAAACUGCCUCAAAAGGCUGAAAUCCAGAUCAAGGCAGGAGUUGACGGGCACACAGACUUGCUCCCAUUAACUCUUACUUCUACCAGGAAUGAAGCCGCAACUAGCUGAAUCACACCUGCUCUGUUAUUUCCUUAAAUCUUGUCCGCUCUCUGAGAGUCCUGCGUGGUGGUGUCUCUUUCUCCCUGCUUUUUAGUGCCCACCCAUUGAACAGCCUUUCCUAAAGUCUCAUGCAGCCUCUCAUCAAGCAAAACAUCAAAACUGCCAGUUUAUGAUGAGAGCAGAGUAAAGGCAGGGUCUGCCCUCCCCCGGACACCUUUCUGAUGUUUCCCAACAUUAUUCUACAGACACGAAUACCCUCUGCUCCCGAGUCACAGCAAGCCACUCCUGACUCUUCUUAGAAAGGCUCCUUCUGAAGUCACACAGAGUCACUGGGACUCAGUAAUACCUGUCAUCCCCAAAUCUCAGGUGAGUGAUCGUGCGACAGGUGUAGAGAGUGAACACCCGAGCAUCACCCUACGGCCUCCAGACACGGCUCCAAGAGAGCUCACCCCCAGCUCCUGCAGGCAUCUGGUCUCCUCCAGCAUCUCCGCCUCCCGCCCCCGGCAGCCCUGCGGAGAAGCCCCUGGAGCGCCGCUCACCUGUUUGUAGGCGUCGAGGAGGAAGCUUUUCCAGAUGCAGCGCAUUCCUUCUGAGGUCAGCAUGCGCCUCCACUGCCCGCGAGUGGACUUGGAGCGGCUCAGCAGCAGCACCACGUGCUUGAGGAGAAUGACCGAGUCAUAGAGCGCCAGGAAGAGGCAGUUGGAGAAAAAAACUGGCAGAAUCUGCAGUGUGAUCAGCAAGUCUACGCUGAGGAUGCCCAUCUUCUCUGCCUCCCGGCUUGAGAGCAGCAUGUAUCAUUCAUUGCCUCCUUCUGGUUGGAAAAGUAAGCAUCUGAGUUAUAAGGCUUCCUUUGGUCUACUUUUUGACUCUUAAGUUGAGAUUAAGAGAAUGAAGUUGGAUAACCUAAAAGCAAACCUGGAGAUUUCAAGGAUGGAAGCUACCACUACUCUUUGUCAUCUGAAGACACCGAAGGGCAUUCAAGAACUCUAUGGAACUCAUGCUGUGGAUUUUCAAGCAGUCUCAGUUUCAUAAAAUUUUAUUCCUUCUAACUCAAGUGAUUUGCUAAAGUAAAUUUUAAAUGGAGAUUAGAUUUUACUUUCAUAAA